UGGGGAAUAUUGCACAAUGGGGGAAACCCUGAUGCAGCGACGCCGCGUGAGUGAAGAAGUAUUUCGGUAUGUAAACUUCUAUCAGCAGGGAAGAAAAUGACGGUACCUGAGUAAGAAGCCCCGGCUAACUACGUGCCAGCAGCCGCGGUAAUACGUAGGGGGCAAGCGUUAUCCGGAUUUACUGGGUGUAAAGGGAGCGUAGACGGUAAUGUAAGUCUGAUGUGAAAGCCCGGGGCUCAACCCCGGGACUGCAUUGGAAACUAUGUAGCUAGAGUACCGGAGAGGUAAGCGGAAUUCCUAGUGUAGCGGUGAAAUGCGUAGAUAUUAGGAGGAACACCAGUGGCGAAGGCGGCUUACUGGACGGAAACUGACGUUGAGGCUCGAAAGCGUGGGGAGCAAACAGG
rnacentral:rRNA from 1 species